rnacentral:tRNA from 1 species
CGCCCUCGUCGCGCAGGUCCUCCGGUACGGGCCGCCCCUCGGCGGCGGCGCGGGCGGCCCGCUCGCGGCGCUCCCGUCGCUCCGCCCGGCGCGGGACGCCC